CCCUCAAGCUCGCGCCCCUCUCCUUCGUCCCCUCCCCGCCGUGCUCCUGUCCUCCCCGCCUCGCCGUUCUUCUCCUGCCGCCCAGCCGGCCGCCGCCGCUCUCCCCGCCGAGCUCGGUCGCCGCCGCCGCCUCGUCCUUUCCUCCUCUCCUAUGCUCGGCAGGAGCGCGGGCCGCCGCCCCACCAUACGAUACGAUGUGGGAGUGCAACCCCGACGCCUCCUCCGCUCAGCCGUGUGACUCGAGACGACAAGAUCUAGCCGUGGCGGCCGAGAUUCAGCUCGUUGGCACGCUCCUCUGCCCUUCCCGAGGGCCAACGAAGAAGUUGGCGCGCUUGGCCAUCCCUCCCGGCGUGGUGGUGGACGAAGCAGAGGCACGUCUCCAGCAAGGUCAUCAUGUCUCCUUCCGGAUCCUUGCUGGCUGGCGGCGAGGUGCCUACCGGGAUGCAACACGCUCCAUCCUACGGCACCAACUACGCCACCGCCUUGCUCCUCCUAAGAGUGAGGUGGAAUUUGUGGUUUCUUAAUUGCUUAAUUUCUACCUCGGCAUGACAUGGAUUGCUUGCAUAUACAUGAGUAUGAAGCAAGAACUAUGCUCUGAGAAAGUGUAGCUGCAAGUGUUUAGGAAUUUCAGCUAAGGCAUAAAAGGCAGGAAGUAUCGAGGAAAGAACUGUGUGUGCUCCAACUGUAUAAGAUGUGUGAGCUGGAUGCAUUGUCAGGUCAAUCCAAAUGAUGAGACUGUCUCGAGUGAUUCCUCCCCUUCGAAGAUGACUCGGUGGUCUUCUUCCUCGCUUGCUUCUUGGGCGCCCGAUCUAUUCUGGACGAGCACCUGCGAGUGGUGGAUGAGGAGAUCUGGCAUGAACCACACACCGGGAGGAGCUCAACUUCUGCUGCCUCUGCACGCCCCAGAACAAUCAGCACAUGUUUUAACAAGGCCAACAGAAAUAUGAUGUAGUCAUGCAUAGGUUGAUGAUUCUGCCUAAAAUAUUCAGAUUUUGAAUCCUAUUACCAUUUUUCUUCAUUUCUUCUUUUGGGUCGGCGGGUAAGCUAAUUAGGCUAUUUUCCCUUUUAUCUAUUUCUGCAACUGGAUUCUUGAAAGGAUUUGAACAGAGUUCAUUGUGGGAACCUGAACCCUACUACCAUGUCUCCACUUUCAUGCAGUGGGCUUGACUGGAUCAUAUGGUUUUCUCGCCGAAGAUUCCCUACGCCACAAGCUACUACUCUGCUCCUCUCCCACCAUGGCACAACAAGGCACUUCUUCCUCUCCUGUGAAAGUAACUGAAGGCCAUCCCACCUGACAUCCAUGGGGCUAAUUUCCAUUUUGGAAUUAAGUGAUGACUCCUGCAGCAGUCGGUGUCCUGUACAGCGUGUUCUGGAACACGGGGUUGAGUGGCUACGAGGGGGAGGAGCCAUGUGACAACUUCGACAUUGCGUCAGAGGAAGGUACUAACUAAACUACAUACAUAUUCCUAGCUUCAGAAAGAAAGGAUGACUGGAUCCGUCAACCCAGGCUGCUCUGAACCACCAUACAUUAUGAUGUGCUGUUUGGACAUGUGAAUUCAAUUGGUAGCAUUGAUAGAUAAGCUAAGCCAGCCGUGAGUGCUGUGACUAGAGAGUUUCUGACUUUUUAGGUCCCUGCUAGCUCUACUCUACUCUCUCGUUUGGUCAUAUACUUUUAGGUUACAACUCACUAACAAAAAAACAUCACAAAACAAUCAACUGGUACAUAUCAAACACAUAAAUUAUUUUAUUCACCGCCUGCAAGCCAACCAUCUAUAUUCUAAACUGAACCUUUUAUUAGUUGCUUGGUACCAAUUUAUCUCUAUUCUUUUUAGUUUCUUAUAUGGUUUCUGCACAUGCCUUAUGGUGAGCGGGACAAAAUAUGUGCCCACAUACGAGGACAAGGACGGUGACUGUAUACUCAUUAGAGACGUCCUCUGGAGGUCAAGUGCAACUCGUGUUGUUCUUCAGCUAUGCCCUAUUGUUUAAGUUUAUAUAUACGCUGCUUACUAUUCUCUUUGGUCAGAUAGUCAAAGAUAUGUGGCAAAACUUUUGCCUUCGAAAUUUUUGUUAUUCUGAAUGAUGC